rnacentral:tRNA from 1 species
ACUAAGAACUGACCCAUCCCUAUUUAAAACAAAAGAACUACCUGUUUAUGUAAAUUUAAUUUACCUUUAUUG